rnacentral:rRNA from 1 species
AUUGAACGCUGGCGGCAGGCCUAACACAUGCAAGUCGAGCGGAUGAAGGGAGCUUGCUCCUGGAUUCAGCGGCGGACGGGUGAGUAAUGCCUAGGAAUCUGCCUGGUAGUGGGGGAUAACGUCCGGAAACGGGCGCUAAUACCGCAUACGUCCUGAGGGAGAAAGUGGGGGAUCUUCGGACCUCACGCUAUCAGAUAAGCCUAGGUCGGAUUAGCUAGUUGGGGGGGUAAAGGCCUACCAAGGCGACGAUCCGUAACUGGUCUGAGAGGAUGAUCAGUCACACUGGAACUGAGACACGGUCCAGACUCCUACGGGAGGCAGCAGUGGGGAAUAUUGGACAAUGGGCGAAAGCCUGAUCCAGCCAUGCCGCGUGUGUGAAGAAGGUCUUCGGAUUGUAAAGCACUUUAAGUUGGGAGGAAGGGCAGUAAGUUAAUACCUUGCUGUUUUGACGUUACCAACAGAAUAAGCACCGGCUAACUUCGUG